AUGUUGGGCAGCACGCCGCCGUGCGCGAUGGUGACGCCGGCGAGCAGCUUGCCGAGCUCCUGGUCGUUCCGGAUGGCGAGCAGCAGGUGGCGCGGGAUGAUGCGGGACUUCUUGUUGUCCUUGGCGGCGUUCCCGGCCAGCUCAAGCAGCUCAGCGGCGAGGUACUCGAGGACGGAGGCGAGGUAG
rnacentral:rRNA from 1 species